ensembl:snRNA U2 U2 spliceosomal RNA
AUCGCUUCUCGGCCUUUUGGCUAAGAUCAAGUGUAGUAUAAGAAAAAUGCUAAUCACUUUAUUUGACCCAGUAUGCAUUAUAUGUGCACACUGAAUUUCCAGACUGUACCCCAU